UACGUAGGGUGCGAGCGUUAAUCGGAAUUACUGGGCGUAAAGCGUGCGCAGGCGGUUUUGUAAGACAGGCGUGAAAAUCCCCCGGGCGUUAACCUCGGGAACGUGCGUUUGUGACUGCAAGGCUAGAGUGUAGCAGAGGGGGGUAGGAAUUCCACGUGUAGCAGUGAAAUAGCGUAGAUAUGUGGAGGAAUACCGAUGGCGAAGGCAGCCCCCCUCGGG
rnacentral:rRNA from 1 species